GUCUAGUAUAGCAUUAUACCGCGAAACUGCGAAUGGCUCAUUAAAUCAGUUAUCGUUUAUUUGAUAGUACCUUACUACAUGGAUAACCGUGGUAAUUCUAGAGCUAAUACAUGCUAAAAAUCCCGACUUCGGAAGGGAUGUAUUUAUUAGAUUAAAAACCAAUGCCCUUCGGGGCUCUCUGGUGAUUCAUAAUAACUUCUCGAAUCGCACGGCCUUGCGCCGGCGAUGGUUCAUUCAAAUUUCUGCCCUAUCAACUUUCGACGGCUGGGUCUUGGCCAGCCAUGGUGACAACGGGUAACGGAGGGUUAGGGCUCGACCCCGGAGAAGGAGCCUGAGAAACGGCUACUACAUCCAAGGAAGGCAGCAGGCGCGCAAAUUACCCAAUCCCGACUCGGGGAGGUAGUGACAAUAAAUACUGAUACAGGGCUCUUUUGGGUCUUGUAAUUGGAAUGAGUACAAUUUAAAUCCCUUAACGAGGAACAAUUGGAGGGCAAGUCUGGUGCCAGCAGCCGCGGUAAUUCCAGCUCCAAUAGCGUAUAUUAAAGUUGUUGCAGUUAAAAAGCUCGUAGUUGAACCUUGGGCCUGGCUGGCCGGUCCGCCUCACCGCGUGCACUGGUCCGGCCGGGCCUUUCCCUCUGGGGAACCGCAUGCCCUUCACUGGGUGUGUCGGGGAACCAGGACUUUUACUUUGAACAAAUUAGAUCGCUUAAAGAAGGCCUAUGCUCGAAUACAUUAGCAUGGAAUAAUAGAAUAGGACGUGUGGUUCUAUUUUGUUGGUUUCUAGGACCGCCGUAAUGAUUAAUAGGGACAGUCGGGGGCAUCAGUAUUCAAUUGUCAGAGGUGAAAUUCUUGGAUUUAUUGAAGACUAACUACUGCGAAAGCAUUUGCCAAGGAUGUUUUCAUUAAUCAGGAACGAAAGUUAGGGGAUCGAAGACGAUCAGAUACCGUCGUAGUCUUAACCAUAAACUAUGCCGACUAGGGAUCGGACGAUGUUAUAUUUUGACUCGUUCGGCACCUUACACGAAAG
rnacentral:rRNA from 1 species